ACGGGGCGGCCCUACCGCGAGGUGGGGUCGAUCCUUCCGCGUAACACUUGCCGAAGCCUUAGCAGCCCGAAAGGGUGCAGCCCCAACGACUAUAAUAUUCGAGGGCUGCUUAAAUGCUAGUCUGCGCCGCGCAGGCGACACUAUCAAAUUGCGGGAACACCCUAAAGACCUCAACACCAAGCGACGCGGGAAACCGCGGCGUGGCCGAGCUAAUAGCCCUGGGUAUGGUAACAGCUUGAGGUAUGACGCCCCUCGGGGUCGAAAUGGGCAAUCCGCAGCCAAGUCCUACCGCGCCCCCGGGCGCCACGGAUGCUGUUCACAGGCCAAAUGGUAGUGGGUGACCCCUCGCGGGGUUGCUUAAGAUAUGGUCGGGCCCCUCCAGAAAUGUUGGGGGUAAGUUUACGCCGUCCGACGCGCCCGCGUCCGACGAGAACAACCGUUCCGUAGGUGAACCUGCGGAAGGAUCAUUACUGAGGGGCUUCGGCCCCGUCAAGAUACCACCCUUGCAUUUUGAGCACCUUCUGUUUCCUCGGCGGGCUCGCCCGCCAAUGGGGACCACAACAAACCCUCUGUAGUUGCAGUAAACGUCUACAAACAAAUAAAAUCAAAACUUUCAACAACGGAUCUCUUGGUUCUGGCAUCGAUGAAGAACGCAGCGAAAUGCGAUAAGUAGUGUGAAUUGCAGAAUUCAGUGAAUCAUCGAAUCUUUGAACGCACAUUGCGCCCUUUGGUAUUCCUUAGGGCAUGCCUGUUCGAGCGUCAUCUAAACCCUCAAGCACUGCUUGGUGUUGGGCGUCUGUCCCGCCUCGGGCGCGGACUCGCCUCAAAAACAUUGGCGGCCUGUGUUAUUGGCUUCGAGCGCAGCAAAUCGCGCCUCGCGAACCGAUCGGCACGGGCGUCCAUCAAGACCACCCCCAAGUUGACCUCGG
rnacentral:rRNA from 1 species